rnacentral:antisense_RNA from 1 species
CGGCGCCGGAAGCACGGGUCUGGGCCCUCCCGCGGGGCGGGUACUCGUCUCCCGGCCGAGCGACUUCAGCUCGGGGACAUGCCCUAUGGCCGCUCCCCAGCAGGACAGGGUAACCGCCGGGGUGGGGGGGCUCCUUGUCCGUCCCAGCCCCCCAACUCAGGCCCUCUCGCUGCCCCUGGCGACCACCGCGUGCGCCCUUCCCCAGGGCCGGCGCAGUCCUGGACGCCUCCGCCGAGCGUGACUGCCUGCAUUUUCUCUCCUUUCCCUUCCCAACCUCCGGAGAGAAGACAAACCCAGAGCCGCUGUCUCCAUCCUCUGCUGAUGCCUGAUGUCUUUAUGUUGGCUUCGUAGUCCGCACUGCAGUGUGGCAGGGGCGUCCCUCGUUUCCCGCGGACUGAGGUGGGCGCCGGGCAUUCAGUAAACGAAGAAACGAAAGCGGAGAAGGUUGGGAAUCAAACGUCUGUCAUACCUGCCACUAGCAGACAAGCGGCUUUGGGUACCUCCUGGACCCAAACACGAACUCAGCCCCUCCAGGAGUGCAGUCAUUGGCACCCACGUGGGAACAAUGCCGGGAUGAGUGGCCACCGGAUGUUUCCAGGGCCGUCAGAGGCCGAGCAGCGCAGGUCUUGGAGAAUGAAUGUGGGUCACUGGGCCGCGCUGCAGAGGGCCGGUCCUGAGUCGCUGCCUGGAGGAGAGGCCCAUGGCCAGCACUUGGCUUCACCUGGAGGAAGAAGCACGUGCUAAACCACCAGCAUUCAGGGUUUGUCUGUUUGAUAAAAGAUGCUGGCCUUGACACACCAACUGACAAGAAAGUCUUUCAUAGGUCGGAGCUGCUAGGUUGUGCCCCUGGCCCCUCCUGAAAAUUAGCCACACGAAAGGAAGGGUCUGGAAGGUGGCAGAGAAGCCAGCAGAGACGACUGCCACUCCGACAGGGAGCCCUGCCCCGUGCCCUGCUGAUGUUGACACUGACGCUGGCUCUAUUAUUUCACUUUUUCCUUGUAAUUUCUUAAAAUCUAGCAACAAGUUGAGCAAUGAAAAAAAGUACAGAAAAAGUUAAAAUUAUGUUAGAAAUUAUGACUGUAAAGAAAUUUUGAAACUAAAGAAAAAAAAUUGCCAAAAUUGCCAAAGCUUUUAGGACUCUUCAAAAUAUAGUAACAUUGAGUAUUAUGAACUAAAGACUCAUACUAUUAUAUCAAUGUCUGGUAGUGAAUUUGGAUGGAGGACUGUCUAGUAACUUCUUAACAAAACAUUGAUUAAAAGUCUUUCUCGGUGGGGCGCCCUGGCUCACGCCUGUAAUCCCAGCACUUUGGGAGCCAGAGGCAGGUGGAUCACGAGGUCAGGAGAUCGAGACCAUCCUGGCUAACAUGGUGAAACCCCGUCUCUACUAAAAAAAAUACAAAAAAACUAGCCAGGCAUGGUGGUGGGCCCCUGUAGUCCCAGCUACUCGGGAGGCUGAGGCAGGAGAAUGGCGUGAACCCGGGAGGCGGAGCUUGCAGUGAGCCAAGAUCGUGCCACUGUACUGCAGCCUGGGCAACAGAGUGAGGCUCCAUCUC